rnacentral:rRNA from 1 species
GAUGAACGCUGGCGGCGUGCCUAAUACAUGCAAGUCGAGCGAACAGACGAGGAGCUUGCUCCUCUGACGUUAGCGGCGGACGGGUGAGUAACACGUGGAUAACCUACCUAUAAGACUGGGAUAACUUCGGGAAACCGGAGCUAAUACCGGAUAAUAUAUUGAACCGCAUGGUUCAAUAGUGAAAGACGGUUUUGCUGUCACUUAUAGAUGGAUCCGCGCCGCAUUAGCUAGUUGGUAAGGUAACGGCUUACCAAGGCAACGAUGCGUAGCCGACCUGAGAGGGUGAUCGGCCACACUGGAACUGAGACACGGUCCAGACUCCUACGGGAGGCAGCAGUAGGGAAUCUGCCGCAGUGGGCGAAAGCCUGACGGAGCAACGCCGCGUGAGUGAUGAAGGUCUUCGGAUCGUAAAACUCUGUUAUUAGGGAAGAACAAAUGUGUAAGUAACUAUGCACGUCUUGACGGUACCUAAUCAGAAAGCCACGGCUAACUACGU